AGAAGAAGAAGAAGAAGAAGAAGAGUCCUCCUCGACGGUUACACACAGAAGAUCCGAUCUGAAGAACGGUCACGUGAGGUUCAUCUCCGGCGGCUGUCAGAAGUGACGUGGCGGAUCCCAAGCUGAUCCAGAGAUAGCUCAGAUUCAGAUAAUGCUUCUCGGCUUGAGAACUUUGGCUGCCAUCCAAAGACACACUCG